AUGGUAUUUAUGGUUGAUGCUAGUGGUCAUGUUAUGAGUAGUGUUCUACUUGUGAUAUUCAUGCUCGUCAUUAUGCCAUGCUCAGUUGGAUAUGAUUCAUUGUUGGUAUGGAUGAUAGUUAUGUUGAACCCUCAUGCUUAUGUUGAUAUCAUGUUCAUGCAUUGUAAUUGCUGUCGGCGUUCUAGGAACGGGGGUCCCCAGACUUGCCUGCCUGCGGCCCACAGCGUGGCCAAGCCAGCAGGCUGUGCGGCCCUUCUUCAUCAACAAGGCAUCCAGGACCCUCGCGAGGGUCCAAGCCUCGCGAGACGGACGACACAAGACCUCCUCUGGAGUAGCCUAACCAGGCAGGCUCGCGAGGAGCGGAGAUAUCAAGGCAGGCAAAACCUCACGAGGCCCUCGUGA
rnacentral:rRNA from 1 species